GCCGGAGUGGCGGAAUUGGCAGACGCGCCGGAUUCAAAAUCCGGUUCCCGUAAGGGAGUGUGGGUUCGACUCCCACCUUCGGUACCA
rnacentral:tRNA from 1 species